ACUUUUGUAGCUCGUUUGGUUAGAGCGUGGUGCUGAUAACGCCGAGGUCGCAGGUUUAAUCCCCAAAUGGG